GCAGUAGUUUACUGGUAGAAUUUUAAUUUUUUAUUUGGAAGACCCAGGUUCAAGUCCUGGCCAAUGCA
rnacentral:tRNA from 1 species